GUGCUCCCUCGCCGGCCGCCCGCCUGCCAGCGCCGCCCGCCCUGCAGCCACUGGACCACCAGGGAGAGAGACCCCCCCCCAGCACUCCCAAAGGUAAGGAGGUUGGGGGGGGGAUUUAAAUAAAAAAAAAGUUAAUGUGUGUGUGUGUUUGUGUCUGACUGUGUGUGUGUGUGUGUUUGUGUCUGACUGUGUGUGUGUUUGUGAGUGUGUGUUUGUGUCUGUGUUUGUGUCUGACUGUGUUUGUGUCUGUGUAUGUGUCUGACUGUGUGUGUGUGUUUGUGUCUGACUGUGUUUGUGUCUGUGUAUGUGUCUGACUGUGUGUGUGUGUGUGUUUGUGUCUGACUGUGUGUGUGUAUGUGACUGUGUGUGUCUGUGUGUGUUUGUGUGUGUGUUUGUGUCUGACUGUGUAUGUGUG